GCCUGGGUGGCUCAGACGGUUGAGCGUCAGGCUUCAGCUCAGGUCAUGAUCUCACGGUUUGUGGGUUCGAGCCCCAUGUCGGGCU
rnacentral:tRNA from 1 species